rnacentral:rRNA from 1 species
ANACNUGCAGUCGAGCGAAUGGAUUAAGAGCUUGCUCUUAUGAAGUUAGCGGCGGACGGGUGAGUAACACGUGGGUAACCUACCCAUAAGACUGGGAUAACUCCGGGAAACCGGGGCUAAUACCGGAUAAUAUUUUGAACUGCAUAGUUCGAAAUUGAAAGGCGGCUUCGGCUGUCACUUAUGGAUGGACCCGCGUCGCAUUAGCUAGUUGGUGAGGUAACGGCUCACCAAGGCGACGAUGCGUAGCCGACCUGAGAGGGUGANNNNCCANACUGGGACUGAGACACGGCCCAGACUCAUACGGGAGGCAGCAGUAGGGAAUCUUCCGCAAUGGACGAAAGUCUGACGGAGCAACGCCGCGUGAGUGAUGAAGGCUUUCGGGUCGUAAAACUCUGUUGUUAGGGAAGAACAAGUGCUAGUUGAAUAAGCUGGCACCUUGACGGUACCUAACCAGAAAGCCACGGCUAACUACGUGCCAGCAGCCGCGGUAAUACGUAGGUGGCAAGCGUUAUCCGGAAUUAUUGGGCGUAAAGCGCGCGCAGGUGGUUUCUUAAGUCUGAUGUGAAAGCCCACGGCUCAACCGUGGAGGGUCAUUGGAAACUGGGAGACUUGAGUGCAGAAGAGGAAAGUGGAAUUCCAUGUGUAGCGGUGAAAUGCGUAGAGAUAUGGAGGAACACCAGUGGCGAAGGCGACUUUCUGGUCUGUAACUGACACUGAGGCGCGAAAGCGUGGGGAGCAAACAGGAUUAGAUACCCUGGUAGUCCACGCCGUAAACGAUGAGUGCUAAGGGUUAGAGGGUUUCCGCCCUUUAGUGCUGAAGUNAACGCAUUAAGCACUCNGGCUGGGGNNNACGGCCGCAAGGCUGAAACUCANGGNA